UCACUUUUCUUCAUACAGUUCUCUUAUGUGACAAAUUGAACUUUACUACAGCUUUAGUGGUUUGCCCCCUUAAUACUGCCCUCAACUGGAUAAAUGAAUUUAAGAAAUGGCAAGAGGGAUUAGAAGAUGACAAAAAACUUAAGGUAUCUGAAUUAGCAACCAUGAAAAGCCCUCAAGAUCGAAGUAUUUUACUACAAAAAUGGCAAGACAGUGGUGGUGUCAUGGUCAUCGGCUACGAAAUGUACCGAAAUCUUGUACAAGGACGGAAUGUGAAGAGUAAAAAAUUAAAAACAGUAUUUAAUAAAACUCUUGUUGAUCCAGGCCCGGAUUUUGUUGUGUGUGAUGAAGGUCAUAUACUAAAAAAUGAAGCUUCA